UCAAAAGCUUUCCGGAAAGAGAAGAUUGCUAUGGUGAUCAUUGUUGUGGUUUGCCGGGAACCGUCAGAUAACAGCAUUCCACACCAUCAUUGCACCUGGCCAUGGGUUCUUUUUGCCUCAGGUUUUUGAACAUUCAGACAGAGCUUAGCCGUGCCUCCCCUACUUCCUGAUGGACCCUUUCAUUAUUUCCUUCCAUUACAAAACCUUGGGAAUUUCUGUUUUGCCAGAGUAUGUCCUGGUUCUACAUAGAAUUCUCCUACCUCUGAUGCUUUUAAAAUGUGCUUGUGGAUCUGCACAGAUAGGUGACUAACACAUGGUAUAUUACUCCCGAAAAUUUAACUUCAAGUAAUGCACAACUACACUGGGAAACAGAAAGUAGUCAGAUGCUGGCAUCUAUAUAGGGACUCACCAUAAAAGUGACAGCCACAACGUGGACGCAUUUUUGGCAACUCAGAUACCCCAAGCAGCAUCCUCCACGAGUGACAUGAUUCUCCAAAAUGGCGAACAACUUCUGCAAAGUUCCAAACAAAACUAAAGAUUCUGAGGGGUAUCCAAUAUCCUUUACUAAAAUCCUCUCCUGCUGAUGCCUAGCAGAGCUGGGGUUAUCACUUACAACUAAGAACUCCGACUGAUAUGGUUCUGAGGUCCAAUCUAACUGGAAAGUAAAGAAAGAGUUCAUCAUAUAACUGCUGUUGAGAAACAAAGACUGUGCCCUUGGACUGCAUUGUUGGAAAUCUGAGCAUGGUAGCACAGACAUAUCUGUGGCAUAAGAGUUGAGCCAUUCUCCCCAUGCACCCUCCUACACUGACCAUCCUAAAUGCACUUGAAGAACAAUAGACAUAUUAUCACUUACAAUUUCUACAGAGAAGAAAUUUGAGAGUCAGAGACAAAGUGAACUGCCCAGAAAGACAAAAUUCACUGCCACAGAGGUAGAGGUGGACUGGCAUUCAGCAUUCUUGUGUCUUGAACUCUCCUUCCCUCUACAGUAAUGUUCUCAACCAUCCGGACUCCUGGUGUUCUCAAGCCACCCAUUUCUCUUACUUUGGCAAAACUUCCUCAUUAUUAUGAAACGUGAAAGAUAAAAAUGAGAAAAAUCACAUGAAAUCUGCUCUCGGCUUAACAAAUAACAAGGCCCAUUCUAACCUGUGUGCUUCUGGCAUCAGUCACACAAACGGAAACUGAUCUGACUGUAAGAAGGGGCCAAGGAUGAAGGAGCGAAAAGAGCGCCUUUUCUCAACACUGGUUUGAAAGUAAAAGUUGAAAGGGGAAAGACGCCUGACUCAGCGCUCCGGCAACCCCCUGCCGGGCUGUGCUGCUGACCGCGCCCCUCGCCCAGCAGGACUGCGGCUGCGGCUGCCCCGGGAGCGACCCGGCUCCGCAGCCCAGCUACGGGGUCAGCGCGAGAGCAGCACGCCGAGAGCCGGCGGGCUGCCUCCGGCCCCUCCCCGGCAGAGGCCCCAGGAGCGCCUCCGCCUCGCGCGCAUGCCCAGCCGG
rnacentral:lncRNA from 1 species